rnacentral:sRNA from 1 species
GUGAUAGGCCUGGAGAUGGAAAUAUUUCAUUUCAGUCUUAGAACUGGUACAGCAUGGACAGCAGCUGUGCAUGUUUCUCCAGUACUGUUGUGCCAAUGUGCCUCAUCCUUGAAGCCAAAUUAACAUUGUACAUUACAUAGUACCAUUCAGCACGUAGGUGCU